UAUAUACUCAAAGCGUUUGGAAUGUAGCCUAGGGCUAUUGUUUAAAAUGAAAAAUUUUGGGGAUUUCAAGCAACGCAAACAAACCUCAUGUACAUGGGUUGGGAACAUUGUUUUCUUUACGUAGCUAUGCGCAUUUCGGAACGCAGUCCUUGUAUUUUGUUUCGUAGUUACGAUCGUUUACCUUGAUUUGCGCCGUAUAAAAAGACAAAUGUAAUGUAAUGAGAAUCACUUUCGGCACUAUAUACAAUUGAAUGAUUAACAAUUUGUAAGCGAGUAUAAGUCUACGUCUAUUAACUCAAGAUAAUCUAUUCUCAUUUUUUUUCUCUAUUAUAGCCAACAGCUAGUCUACUCGCUAUGUCCAUACAAUGGUUUAGGAUAAUAAAGAUAGGCUAUUCCAGUAUGAUUCACAAAGAACUACGUCCAUUGGUAUUCUGCGGCCCAUCGGGUACUGGAAAAAGUACUUUGAUAAAGCGAUUGUUUGAUGAAUUUCCCAACACCUUCAAAUUUUCAGUAUCUCAUACAACCAGAAUGCCACGACCUGGUGAAAAGGAUGGUACACACUAUCAUUUCACAACCAAGGAAAAAAUGCAAGAACAAAUAAAAAAUAAUGAGUUUAUUGAAACUGCUUCGUUUAGUGGGAAUCUAUAUGGGACGAGUAGACAAGCAGUCGAAGAAGUGCAACGUUUAGGAAAGGUAUGCGUAUUGGAUAUUGAAAUACAAGGUGUGAAACAAAUAAAAUGCACUGAGCUCAAUCCUCUUUAUGUAUUUAUAAAACCGCCAUCUAUUGUGGAAUUGGAGCGACGAUUAAAGGCUAGAAACACGGAAACUGAAGAAUCCUUGGAACAUAGAUUAUCGAUUGCCAGAUCUGAAUUAGAAUAUGGUGAAACACCUGGUAAUUUUGACGUUGUUAUAGAAAAUGAUGAUUUGGAAAAAGCGUAUGAAAUCUUACACAAUUUUAUAUUGACUAAUUACAAUCCACAUUGCAGUACAGGAGGAAAAUAUUUUUAGAGAAAGUAUUUGCAAAUCUACAAAUAUGUAAAAAAUUACCGAUCUACAUUGCCAUGCCAUUUAAGAUGUUAAAUUAUCUGAAACAAAAAAUAAUUAAAAUGAUGAGAUAACAAGCUAGUCCAGAAUUAAAACCUGACGGAUCCUCUUCAUGGAUUACACAUACAUCUGAGCAUGAAUGGUUUUCGAAAUGCUUGCAAAGUAUAUAUUUCUAGAAUAUAUUUUAACACGUAAUUAAAAGAUGCACACAAAUCUUGCAAGUUGAAACUGAGGUUAAUGCGAAUUCAUGUAAAUAUACAUUUUUGUAUAUCUUUAUUAGCUAUAUUUUUUAAAAAAUUUUUUCAUAAAAAUAUUAAUUGCAAUAGUCGCAUUCUGCAAUGUUGCUACGUUGAACUCUAUGUGACAUUAAGGCAAACAAGUAGUAAAGAGUAUGUCCAGUACAAUCAGUAAGUUUUGUUUUAAGUUGGAUUUAAUGAAAACCAUGUAGUAGGAACAUGCACAGACUUAGUUUAAUUAUGAACUUAUCGAUUAUUUUUUAUUAUUUCCUAAUUAAUUUUAUUGUUUUGUAUUUUUUAAAGAUUUUUAAAAGAAAAAAGACGUUUAACAGAAAAAAGUAGCUACAUUAUUAUUUAUUAUUGGACCCUUCUUUUAAUCUUGAAUUUUAACAUUAUUACGUAAUCAUAUAUCCACACGUAAAUCAAAGAAAAUGAAAUAAACCUACUGGUAUACUGUGAUAUAUUUUUAUUCUGUUGAGUAGGAGCAGUGUGUUAUAACAUGUCAGUUAAUUUUUUUACGAAAUAAAAGAUUUAGGGUUGCGAAAAGGCUUUUUUUACCUAAAAUAAAUUUAACUAAAUGUUUAAGAAGUUACUUUAAAAAAACCAAAAUCGUAGAUGUAACUGACUGAGACUAUUCACCAAGGAAGGUUGUGUUCCAAUAAAGUAGGUUAUCUUAUUAUCUAUAUAAAGUAUUUGCGCAAUUUCAUCUUUGUACUUAUCUUCAUAAUUGACAUAAAAGUGCGAAACGCAGUUGCUUCGAGUUUACAUCACAUCAAAUUUUUAGAAGCAUCUCGAGUACUAGGCUUAGGAUUUGUAGAAAGAAUUACGUGUAAACAUUCCUAUAACAUCUUUAUGGUUAAUAAUUAUUAUUAGGUUGCGUAAGAAACAUUUUAAAAAUUGUAUACAUUAUAAUUAUUAUAUCUCCACAUCUAUUUUAUUUUGUGCGUACAAUUCGAAACCUGUAAUAUUGUAAUGUUUGUUUAUAGCUUGUGAUUAAAAUAGAAAAAUGUCGAUUGAAUUGUUAGGCUAAUAAUUGUAUUAAUCUGAUCGAACUUGCCUCUACAUUUAAAAUAUAAAAAUUAGUCAUAUUAGGCACAUUAGUUGAAGUUAGAAUUUCUCUUAGAAAAUUGAUAUAACUAAUGAAUCUUAAAGAGAUAAGUUUCGCAGAAAAUAUUUAUAAGAAUGGAAUAUAAAGAAUAUAUAUAAUUGUUGUAUGUAUACCCAAUUCAAUAAUUUGGAAGAUAGUACAACAUGUAUUGUUAUCAUGACAUGAGAUAACAAAAAUCGAUAUAAAUCUAAUAAUUACAAUUGAACCAGUGAGUGCAGAAAGAGUACGAAUUACAUUUGUCUAAUUUUUUAGUGUUGAUAAAAAGUUACUUUAAUUACAGUGAAAGAACUAACAAAAUUAUUUUUGAGAAUUUAAGUAUGGCUUUCAGUAAUACUUUUGACACUUCUGACAUUCAUGAUUUCAAUAAAAUGAUUGUGUAUUAAAUAAA
rnacentral:misc_RNA from 1 species